GACGAACCGUCCAAACGUUAUUCGGAAUUACUGGGCUUAAAGGGUGCGUAGGCGGCGCGGAAAGUUGGGUGUGAAAUCCCUCGGCUCAACCGAGGAACUGCGCCCAAAACUACCGUGCUCGAGGGAGAUAGAGGUGAGCGGAACUUAGGGUGGAGCGGUGAAAUGCGUUGAUAUCCUAAGGAACACCCGUGGCGAAAGCGGCUCACUGGGUCUCUUCUGGCGCUGAGGCACGACAGCGUGGGGAGCAAACAGG
rnacentral:rRNA from 1 species